rnacentral:rRNA from 1 species
UUUUACAUUCUUUAAUUUAUUUUCUUUUUGGUAUUUUAAUGUUUAAUAAUUUAAGGUUUGUUUGGUUGGGGUGACCAGAAGAUAAAAUAAACUCUUCUUUUUUAAUCAUUGAUUUUUGAAUUAAUAAUCUAGAUUUUCUAAA